rfam:Picea glauca, whole genome shotgun sequence.
GCGGGGAUAACUCAGUUGGGAGAGCGUAAGACUGGAGAUUUGAAAGUCGCGUGUUCGAUCCACGCUCACCGCA